ACGUAACUAUCUUUUCUGGACGUGACUAUAGGAUCUAAAUUUUUACUGAAAAAUAUUUGAUUCGAAGUCAAAUUUGGAUAAAUGGACGGUCUCUUUCUCACCAUAUGAAUAAAUUCAAUGGAUGAAUACGUCACUCCAGCAUCACCGAGGAUCAGAGGAUCAGCUGCCACUUUCAAACUCCAUGUCCAACCCAUCACGAUACAC
rnacentral:lncRNA from 1 species